CUUCAAAUCCUCCUUCUGCUCCAGGACUUUCUGCCAAAAGAGCAGAUGAGGAUUAUUACUAUGUGCCUGCCUCUCUCUCUCGCUUGAUCCCCACCCCCGAGUCUUCAGGGGUGGGAGAAGGGGUUGGGCCGGGAGAGCAGGCAGAGCAGUUUCUUACUGAACAUCGCCACCGCCAAAGCAGCGAGAGAAAAAAGUUGCCGGGGAGCCGCGGCUGCACCCAGCGCGGCUGCAGCUGGGCUUUGGAGCUCCCCCCUCGCGGGGUCCCGCCACAACAAGCUGCGGAGCGGCGGGACGACGCAAACAAUGCUGGCAGGGGAUGCCCGAUGGCUGCGCUGGCCGGGGAGCGGGAAGACAAGUAGAGGCAGCAAGCGUUCCUUGGUUGUUUCUGUACCAUUAAGUGGGUGCUCUACAAUGAACAUCACAAUUGAUGUGAUUAGCUAUCGACAGCCACAGGUAGGAUACACUAUAAAUAGAUGCUAUCUACUUUUUUGGUAGAAAUGAAAAUAUCAAGUUUAAACAUGUAAUCCAGCUGUGGACUGCACUUCUUACUUGCAAGAGAUGUCUUGAUUUCAGGGACCAGCAUAAUAUUGUAAACAUGUUUGUCGAGCACACAAUAUGUAAGUAUAGGUUCAACUUUUAAUUUCUUGGAUUCCUACUCUUUUUCAUUUUAAAAGUAUACUUGACCAGUUUAUCUAGUCAUCAGAUUUCUGAGAUGUUUACAACUCUUACCACUUCUUAACAAAAUUUGCUUGUAUAGGGAAAGCUUCAGAACUAUGUAAGCUAGUGAGGAAGUGCUCAGCUUUAAUUUUUGUUCUGAAGGAGUACUAAAGUUUUCUCAUUUCAAAGUUAAUCUAAUUUUUUUCAUCUUGUUUUACUCUCUUUGACUUAGAAGCGUCCUGUAACAGAAGCUUUCUCCAACUCUGAUUUUAAACACACAAAUGCUACCACCCACAUCACCACCUUACUCCCCAACCUAUGAUCCUGAAAGAAAUCUGGAGAACAAAAAAAAACAUUUAAAAGAGGAUCCAAUGUGAUCCUCAAGCCAAGUUACACUGAUUUGUUUGUUUGUUUUUAAUCCUACUCUACUGCUGAUAUAAUGGUGGUAUUAUAGUGUCCUGCAUCUCAAAGUCAUAAGAUGCUUCCUGUUACUUUCUUGAUAGGCUGAUGGGAUCAUGGCUCUCAAACUCUUUUCUGAUACUUCCAGAGGAAUGUAGGAGGUUUCAUUGCUACUCCCCUCCCUCCCGAGGCAUUUCAGGCUCUACUACUCUUUUUUACUCCUAAAAGAGUGGUCGCUAUUUUACUAUAAUGCUGUGAGACCAUGGAGUCAUUGCCUUUGGCUCCCUGAUAUCUCAUUGUGCUUAUGACUUUCUGGACCACUACAGCUUGUUUAUCAUGUUCCUGUUCUCUCCCAGAAGCUCAGAGAAAUCAACAGAUCAGAUAAAAAACAGUGAGAACCUGAUUUGGUAUUCAUAAGCCCUCUGUUUUGCUCUUGUCUACUUUAUCAUUCAGUCAUAUCCAAUCUUGAGAGUUCUGCCUUGAAGGAUAGUAUAGGCAUCCACUACUGGAUUAUUCUCUCUUCUUUAUCCUACUGCUUCUGAAAACUCUUACUCUGGAUUCUUAUCUCCCUACCUUUUUAGAAGUUCCUAACCCAUUUUGGAAGCUCUUUUUAGCCUAACACAAGAGAGAGAUUACUGAAAGGCAGAUGAUUCUCAGCUGUCACAAAACUCAAGAUAAGGUUUUUGUUUGUUUUUACAGUUCAGUAUUGCUAAACCAUGCCAUGUUACAAUUCUAUUUUUUUACAUAGAGAGAUGUGUAAUCAAUCUUGUUUCUCUCUGACCAUUGUCACAGCAAUGUAGGUGACCACCUCUGACAUGAAGCACAUGCAUUGGCAUUUUUGGGAAGGGUUGCAAUCAGGAUGAUUACUUACCAUGUAAUGUAACAUCAUUGUGGAAAGGAAUUGGGUUUUCUACUAAAGGAGUCUGCUCCUCACACCCUUUGGGCUUUGAUCUGCGCAGCUUUGCCUCAGGAUUUGGCUGUACCAUCAAGGGAUCAAGACGUUUCUUCCUCUGCUUCUUCUCCAGAAGAGCUCUCUGUGAAAUAAAGAAAGAAUAUGAAAUAGGGAUGAGUAACCACAUCCAGAGAGGCAGAAAGCAUACUUCAGAUAUUGGCAAAGGCAUGUUACUAACCAAGAUCACUGAUCAACCUGGAAUGCUCUGAUCUGACAGAAAUCCUAGACACAGAUAUCACAUUGUCUUUGGAGUGAGACACUGCCUUUGAUUCUCCAUCAGUGGUAGAUGGGGAUGAGGACACUUCCUCAUUUUCUGGUCUAUCCUGAGGCCAUCAGCAAAUAAUUUUAACUCCUUUUAUUCAGUCUAAACUGCACUAAUCCAUAAUAUAAAUAGAAAUAAAUUCAGUAGUCAUUUAGAAUCCAAUACAAACAUUUCACAAAGUAAAUUUUACAAUAUACAUGUCCUUCUUAUUUUAUUACUCUAUGCAUCAUACUUAUUUAAGCUGAUAGAGCAGAUAAAACAGCUCACAAGGACUAUCCAUUCUUUCCACUGCAGUUAUGAUUGGACUAAACAUUCUGUCUUUUAGGACAAUAACUUCUGGUGCCUUUAGGGAAUGGAUAAUUUUUCCUCACUGUUCAGUACAAUUGAACAAACUUCAUAUUAAGACAAAUAUGUUUAUUAUAUUGCUAUAGUUUGAUCUCCAAGAUUAUCAGGAAAUGCCAGAGUAAAGAUGACAGUCUUUGUCCCAUGCAUUACAUGGCAAUAGAGACUUAUACUACUAGCACAUACCAUUUCUUUAACCAGGGCUCAUUCAUUCAGUUGAUUCUGCUGCUGCAGUUAUGAAUGCCUUCAUAAUAUAGCAAAAGCAAGUCAAGAUUUGCAAAGGAAGCAGGUUUUAUGACAAAAGCUGUCACCUGAUAGGGAGAACUCACAACAGACAGCUCUCAGAAACUGGUUCUCUGAGAUAAGACAUAGAAGUAGAGGUAAAAUAAGUAAAUUAAAAGGAAAAGAAGAAAACAGAUAAUUCAGUCAUUAAUAUUGGACUGAUUCAGUGAUAGGAAAUCUGAUCUACCUCGCAAACUUUUCUCAUGUAAUUUAGGACUGAAAGGAAAGAACUGUAAAUCCAAAUGUUAGUGUUAAAAAUGAAACAAUACUUUUCCAACAUGCAUAUAGAUUUGAUGUUCAUGAUUUCCUAGUAAAUGAAAAUAGAAACAACCUCUAAAUGUAAAUCAAGGUAAAUGGGCACAUCAUAUCAUUUUAAAGACAGCCAUGCUUAAUUCUUAUAACUUUUAAGGUGCAUGAAGGAGAGGGGAGAAUCAUAUUCCAAUAUUCUGCAAUGCACCACUAUGCCAACCAACAUGCAAGUCCCUCGCUGUAGGUGUGGUUUAUCCAUGCCUGCUUAUUAGACACCUUAACAACAUCCUGAAUGUUCUUCAGGAUGAUAAAAACUUUUUCUCCAACAAAUUCUUCUCAGUCUCCAAGUAUCAAUCAGAUAAAUAGCACCGAGAACUCAAUCCACUUGAGACAAAUGUCUUUAGAGCCCUUUCCUCUCCUGUUAGGCUUUUUCUCUCUCCCAUUGGUUCUUUCCUCUCUUGUUAGGCUUUUUAUCUCAAGCAAUAGCAGCUUCUCAGCGAACCUCUCCCUCAGGAACUCCGAAACAACUCAAUUCUUGAUCCUCCUUUACUCUUUCUAAUUUUAAAGUAAUUUUCUCCAAAACAAUAAUUUUUUUAAAAGCAUGAUUACAUUUGAAGACUAGACUGCAAUAUGUUUAUUUUCAUAAUGAUGCUCAUGAGAGUGAUGCUACCUGACACAGUUUGUUGUUGCAAAUGCUCAUCACAAAUCAAAUUUGUUCUCUAGAAAGAUAGUCAGGCCCUUUAGGAGAAUUUCAGUCUUUUUUUAUUAUAUUUUAAUGCUAACUGAAAAGUAAAAAAUUCCAGAAUAUUUAAUAAAUUUCUAGUAGUGGAAAUAAAAGGAGAGGGGGAAACAAGAAUCAAAACAUUAUACUCAGAAUAAGAAUCUGAGAAAAACUGUUGCCGAGGCUUCUCUACCUGGCGAAUGGACAGACAAGAAGGAAGAGAUACAUAUCCUAAAGGCAGUAAGAAAGUGCAUAGCUACUGUUAGAACUGGAAAUCAAAAUUUGGGUCAACAUAGAAAAAAUAGUUUUAAAGAACUACUUUCCUAAUUAUUAGAUCAGAUUUUUGAAACAUUUUAUUGCUCACUGGUCUAGUAAUUUACUUUUUCUUAUUCUGGUACAUUCUGUUUCGUCAAAGAAAUUCCAGGACUCUCUUUAAGAAAAAAUAGGCUUUGGGUAAUAGGAUCAUAUUAAAACAUAUACUUUAUUCUUGGUAGAUGAGACUGACCUUCAUUUAGGAAGAGCUUCAGGAUAACCAAAGGGGUAAAACAUGAUAGUUAUUUCAUUUGUUUAGAAAGGUUUCUCUCUACUACUUUGCUUGUUUGAGACGUAGAAAAUCUGCUAGCCCACUGACAGGAUGGCUGGUAGCAGUUCAUUCUGUCUACACAUGGUGGCAUAGCGGCUUUACCUUCAGAAUUGUGUGUUCUUUUGAAACUUACUCCACUAAGAUGGAAUCAAAAAAACACCAAACCAAAACAAACCCCCCCACCAAACUGUAUUUCGUUUCCUUUUGUUUACUAACCAGGCUUUUCCUCCAGCUCUGUAUUACAUUAAAAAUUCAUAUGGUAUUACAAUUAAAAAAUUCAGAUAGUUCAGGGAUAGGGCACAGGAACAUGUAAUCCAUUAAAUAAAUAACAGAUACUGAGUGUCAUGAUUCAUUUUGUGAACUCCGUGUAUUAAGACUUCUUCAAAAACAUUUUCCCUGCACCACAGAGAAAACCAUAACAUCAGAAUACAAGAUGUUUAAAUGGUCGGAUUUUAAUAAACUCAGAUCAACAACACUGGUUCUAAUGAAUUUACAUGAGGAUGAAAAUACCACAGCAGACUAAUAAGACAGCUAGUUUGGUAUUCUUUGUACAACUGUGAUCAACAGUAAGAUGGUACACAGGAAGGCUCCAACCCCUGCACCACUGAGGGUGCAGUAUCAUGGCAUGGUCCUACCUCAGUAGGCCAUGCGUGCUGGAUCCUAGCUCUGAAACCUUUUCACUACUCUUCCAGCUCCUCCUGUACCCCAAGUUAAUACUGAGGCAGCAAUGAUAAUGCCAGUGAUGAUAGCAUUAAUGAAAGUUACUGCCAUAAGUAAGUGCCACACUAGCGGCAUUCAGAAAUAUGCCAUCAGCUUCACCCUCUCCACCCAUGUGGACAUGGCAGCAGUGCAGUUUGGGCUCCAGAUGCCUUACAAGGCACAGGGAAACUGGUUCUGCUGCAGAGGAAGAAAGCACUGCCUGCCUGAGCAGCCGCCCACUUUCUCCUCCAAGGAAAAGGCAGUAGGCUAAACAAAAGCAUCCUGGCGGACAGAUCUGGCCCACAGAUGGAACUUCAUGUUAUACAUUAUUAUAAAUAAUAUUUUACAUUAGUUUUUAAACCCAUCAAAAACACGGAUGACAGACAGACAUCUUUGUUGUGGCAAAUGCUUAUUCCAGAUUCUCAGUGUGGUCAAAGGUUCUAAACAUGAUGAUGCUGGAUUAAAACAUUUUGCAACUUUUAUCCCAGUUCCUAUAAAUGUUUAAGAAAAUUCAAUUAAGUGGGGCAUUAGCUACGACCAGCAAUUAGUCCAUCAUGGGGCCUGCUAGCGAUCUGCUAUUGACCUCUGUAUUUCUUCAGAAGGCAUGGUAUUAUUCAAGUUAAAAGUAGACUCGCAAAGUUAACAUUCAAACCUAAAUAUACAGUCACAAAUGAGAGACUGUUAGCAUUUCUUGCCAAAUCUCAUUUGCAAUGUGUGUACAUAGAGGGAACAGGAUGGGUUUAAAAUAUGUUUUUAGUGCAAGUUUCUAGCCAUCAUUUUUGCAAGUGGUUGCAAACAACCAAAUCUAAAAAGCCUGAAACAAAACUGCAGAACGGUAUGAAUUCUUUAAACUCACCUUUUUAUGGUGCAGCUCCAAGGGAAUUCCACCCAGCCCAGCAGCUGUCUUGGUGGAAAAGUGAUGCAUUUCCAUGACAAGGUCUGAAACUGGGCACACAUCUGACCACAGUACCUAGCACUAAGAGCCUGUGGUUGCUCAUGACCCAAGACACCAAUCCUGAAAAUGACAGCCAUGUUCCAUCACCAAGCACUCUGAACAGUAUGAGAGUAUGGUGAUCUAAGCAUCCAGCAAACAGCACCCAGCUGCUUUAGAAACAGAAGCACUUUACCUAAUACAUGCUAAACGCUUGGCUGUAAAUUUAUUCUUAGAGAGAAAAAACAAAAGGCAGAAAGAUGUUGGAAAUCUGUCUCAACAGCAGUGUUAAGCAAAUCUUUUUAUAGCUCAAGGAACAUUUUUCUUUGAUGUUUAAACUGGAUAAUUCCCUACAAAGAGUUUCCUCCCUUUUCACUGAUUCCUGCCUUGUGGUGACUCAAUCCCAAUGAAAUGAGUAAAAGUUUCUGUAUGAAGCAUAAAUGUAUCAAAGAAAUCAAGCCUAUCAACCAUGGCAAGGAUGAUUUUCAAACUAACAAAAGCCAGGAAAAUCUUUAAGGAGAAGUGUUAGGAAUCAGUUCUGUUUAUAUUCCUUCGACCAAGCAUUUUUAAUCACAUCAUCCCCAAUUCUCAAGUCUCCAAGAUUGAUUCUGAAUUCACAUACAGCCUUACAUAUGACAGAAUGGAGGCUGGAUUCACUGCUGCCACACAUCUUAUGUAGCUCUAGGUAAAACAUUACAAAAUGGAUGACAACAACAGGUAAGGCUAUCAUGAGGAAAAAUGGGGCAGAAAGGAGAGGGAGUACAAACAAUUUCAUCUCCUCCCUACUGAGGAGGGGGAGAUGGCUAAUGUUUGUUUUCUUAUACAGAUUCUUGCCAGCUUCUGCACUACCAUUUACCUGAUUUUCUAGUUUCAGUUGUCGUAGUUUCAUGCUUUCAUCCUCAAAGAUGCUGGGAAAUGGAAAGAAACAAAUAAUUAUUGUUAGUAGAUAGUUUGCAUUAUAAGAGUGUACAAUAUUUAUAGACUACAACCUCACCAUCAAGAUUUUAAAACAACUGUGAGACAUAGUAUCUAUCUCAUAGGGAGAUCAAGUUACAAAGAUUUGAAGAAUAAAACAAACAUACUUCAUAUUCAGUGAUAAAUAGGACCAAACCGUGAUUUAAUCACCUUAGUAAACUGUUCGGAAAACAUUUUGUGAGCAAGAAAAAAAAAAAAAAAGUUUCACUGUUGAUGGGUGGAUUAUGAACCAGUAGGUAGGUGGGCUAUGAGACAAUUUACAUCUGAAGACUUAACACAGCUCAAAGUAAUUCACUAAAAUCCCUGUUCCUUCAUAAAAUACCCAAUUCCAAACUAACUCAGAAUUUGAGGGUUCCUCUUGGGUCAACCAUACACCAAUUUUUCCUCCCACCAGACUUGCCAAAAUUACUGUUAAUAACCUGAGAGAAUCUCUGUUUACACAACCUGAUACCAAUUCUCACAUAUGGAAAAAAAAUAAUUAUUUCAUUAUUUAAGCGUUUUACAGCUAACUUUCACAACAGCUCUAGUUUUUGAUCCUGAGUCAUAUUCCAUAUAGACUUCCCACUUCCUUUUUUAUGAUAAGGAAGCACUACAUAAAGAGCAAUUUAGAGCAGCUAACCCUAGAAGAUACUUUGCAACAGUGACCAGUGAUGUGAUGUCACAAGCUGGCAGAUGUUGGUGGAUAUAACCCCAACAUGGAAAACAGUAGAGAGAGGGAGGGAGAGAGGGAGGUAGCAGGGGUGCAGUUUUUACAAAACACAUGACAUGGAGCAUGGAUCACAGCAUAUAGCGCUAAUAGGAGAAGAAAGGGCCCAGAGUCCCCUUAAUCCCUACUAAAUCUGUAUCUGACUUAACUUCCAGUCAACUAAGCAAACGGACACAGCAACAGCUCCAAGUUUCUUAAUGGCAGAUUACCCUGUACAACAUGGGCCCUGUCCUGGAACGCUGAAAUGUGCAGCUCUGGAGUUGCUGAUCAGAGCAAAAAUUUCUUAUUAGCAUGUUGUAAGUAACACUUUAAAUACUCGAAAAUUGAUGCUAACUGCCCAACUAAUGGUAUUCUAAAGGGAGAUCACAACCACCAUUGGUUUUUACAUUGCAAUUUUCCUCAUUUCUAGAUUUUUUUUCUAAUAUUUUUAAAGUAUCAAAUAAGAGGUCUAAAAACUUGAAAGCACCUCAGUUUUAAAAACUGACUUUAUUCCCCAAUGGGCCAGUAAUAGGUAGCACCUGGGAUUCAAAGGCAAAGGAGGGCCUGGAAAAAAAUGAUGCCUUUCUUGAAUACUGACAGAGAGCUAGUGAGUGUCCUUGCAGCUACAGUUAUAGUGAUAUGCUUGUCUGUCUCAAAAGAGUCCAUUGUUUAAACAGGGAAUACACAGAGACAUUUCUAGUGAGUACAGAAAGAUAAACAUUGUGAAACUUGAACAUAAGGUUAAAAUGUGAAAUGCUCUUUAUAUAAAGCAGAAAUGAUGGAAAAGGAUACUUCUGGCAUAAUCAGAAAUAAUGCUUGACAGUUUCAGUUAAGCUAUUCAGGACAAAAAAAAAGACAAGGCAGUGCGGACUUAAGAAAUGGAUAAUAUUUUUUAACUGCUAUCAAAAGUUUGUUCUAAAGUGAUAUACCUAGCAUGCAUCAAUAUUAGAUUAUGGACACAUUCUCAUGUAAUUAAAAAGAACCACAAGGUUGCACUCUGCAGAUACAAACUAGCUUCUGUAUUUCUGUUACUUUUCCUCUAGCAAGAGCUAAUACACCCUCAGAAUCUUUUCCUCUCUCCUUAAGAGAAAAGGAAAAAAAAAUCCAACCAUUUUUGGAAAUAAGGUUGCAGAUUUUCCUUUUUACCUAGAAGAUGACAAAAUAUUAACAUGUGGAAUAUUAACACUCACAUAUAAGACUUGCAGAUAUCCCCAGUGAAAAUUGAAAUGCUUGUCAUGCAUUUUAAAAUUAUUUUCUACGUGCACUGGAAUAAAGUUAUAUAACUUCAAAGAUAGGUCCGAAGACUGUAGGAACAAGACCAUAAUGCAGAUUACAUAAUGCCUCACUUUUAACCACAUAAUUGAGACUCAAAAGUGGUUAAAAAAUAUAGAAAGACUAACAGGUCACAAUGUUUCCAUAUUGGUCCAGCAAAGGUCACAAAACUUUUUGAAGACAAGCAGAAUCUGAAUUUUCUUUACACACAAAAAGUGACUGCACAGUGAAUGGAGAUUCCCAUUCUCCCUUGAAAAAAUAGAAAGGGGAGACAGAAGCAAAAAACUCUUGAAAACUUUUCAGAGAAAAGACGGCAUUCUCCUUUACAAUUUACUGUUAAACACAGACUAAAAACAUUUCCUAGCAUGCCACAAAGUGAAAGAAGCCAUAAAUCCCUCCGUGUACUACAAGGAUCUACAUAAGGAACAAAAUAAGAAAAAGUAAAACCAUGGGCACUGUGACAAUCUAAAUCGUAACUAAAAAAAAUUAAAAAAAUAAAAAUAAAUCACACUAUUUUCGUUUACUCCUCCUGCAACCUUCCUUCUAGCACUUUGUCAUCAGCAAAGUAACAUGAUAGCCAAAGGAGCUUUCUUCCCCCCCACACUUCAAACUUUUUCUGCCUGCCACAGUGAAGCUGGUGUUGUUACUAACCUUCCAGAAAAAGGCUUUGCAAGAGGCACUCCUACAGCUCAUCGGCAAAGAAUGCUCAUCGGCAAAGAAUGCAAGCACAGCUGCUGGCUACAGCAAGAAUCCUCCUGCGGAGGGACUACGCAGAACAGCGCAUCUGAGCGCUCUUUGAUCAUGCCUCCAUAAAACCACAAUGCUGUUCACUAUGCUCUUUUCUGUUUGCUGGAUUUACAUGCAGGAAGAGGGGUUAAAUAUUCACUGGGAUCAGAGAAAAAUAGCAUUUCCACAGAUACAACAAUAUAGUCGAGGUGGGGCUGGAACAGUCCAUUUACCCUCGAUAAAUAUGAACUGAAAGAAUUCAAGUAACAUAUCUCGAUUUUGCUCUUCUCACCUGCUGUAGCAGAGAAUAGACUAUCCAACAUCUCAGCCACCAAUUCCUUUGCUAUGCUUAGCCGAAUCCACUACCUCUCCCAUGGCACAUGCAGCAGAAAAAGAAAGCCACCCAAAGAAUAACAUAGCAGUGAAGACUAAUGAUUACCCAGCAUACAGAAUAAAAAUGGAGUGGGAAGGCAACUGUUUAAUCAAAAUUUUUCUCUUUUAAAAAACCCUUCUUUUUUAAAAAAAGAGAAGAUACAAAAACCUGUUUGAAUACCAAAUAAAAUAGUGAGAUAGUGGCAUUCCAGAUCCAUUCCUCACUACCUUUCCAAGUUCGAAACAGUCCAAGAUUAAGUGAAAUGCUUUUUUUUUUUUUUUUUUAAACUGAUAGCACCUCAGAUUCCUGCUGAAAUCCUAAUUAGCCCGGUUUUCAUAUCAUAAGCAGAAAGUGAAGUGUUGCAAUAGGAAUACGAAUGACAAACUUGUUAACUAUAGAUGAAAUAACUUGAAUUUAUUUGGUCUUUCCUAACCAUCUUCAGAACACCAAACUAACUGCGAUGAAGAGAUAACUCAAAUCAUUUAAUAGACAUUCACAUAUAAUUAGGAGUCCAUUCUUAUGCAGUUUGUAUGCUUUUCAUUAUUGUAAAAAAGGCACAGUAUACCUAUUGCUAGCUCUUUUAGAUGUGAUGUAUGACUUUUUUUAAGAGAAGUUUUGUAUUUAGAAACUAUGUUGUAAAGUGUAAGUGUAGAUGGGCAGAGUUAACAUGUUUUCCUUCCAACUUUAUGUUCCUGAAUAUAUUAGACUUGAAAAACCAAGAGUUAUAAUCUAAGCACUUGGGAAUAAUUAGGCACAGGAGCAUUAAAUCAACCAAAUACAAAAUCACAGUAUGAUGUCAUUCUGUGAAUAAUUAAAUAGCCUGACAUUAAAACAGGAGAACAGAAAAUGCAGGGCAGGAAGAAUGGAAAGUCAGUGAGAAUGGGAAAACCAUUUCCAGCCUGAGGGCCACACAACAGAAAGGAGUCCAAAGAACUGGAAUGACUUCAACAGAAAGCAGAAAAAAUUGACUGAGGACUGGAAAUUCCAUGGAUAUGAAGCCAGAAAUGACUAUUCAAAUGAGCAGAAGACAACAAAAUCCAGUCACAGGAAGCUGAAGUUAAACAAAUUCAGACUGCAAAUAAAGGUUAUAUUUAACACUGUGGCUAAUUAACCAUUGGAAUACCUCAUGGAGCUGUGGAUUUGCAACAGAAAACAGUACCCUUUAAUCAUGGCUGAAUAUUAUUAUCCUAAAAACUGCUAUCACAAAGUAACACUAUGAUUUACCUUAGAUUAUAGGUGUGGUUAUCCCAGAUGGAAGUGCAAAACACUCUUUUUUCAGGUUAUAUCAAGGGAUCAAUUAAGUUCACUUUUGUAUGCUGACUGUUGAAGCCAAGAGGCAAAUAAACAGCUGCUUUCAUUGGGAACUGAUUCGGUAAAAAACUGCCUGCCUGCAGCUGUGAGUGAGAGGCAGCAAGCCAGAGGAAGUGAGAAAAGCCAUUGGAAGAGCAGCCUUUAGAGAGAAAAUGCUCUACAUGAUUGAGAUUUCACUGGAAAAACAGGUUUGAAAUACAUUAAACAAUGGAAAAUGUG